rnacentral:rRNA from 1 species
CAACGGGGGGAUGGCCUUAGUACGGCGAGUGAAGCGGCAAAAGCUCAAAUUUGAAAUCUGGCACCUUCGGUGUCCGAGUUGUAAUUUGAAGAAGGUAACUUUGGAGUUGGCUCUUGUCUAUGUUCCUUGGAACAGGACGUCACAGAGGGUGAGAAUCCCGUGCGAUGAGAUGCCCAAUUCUAUGUAAAGUGCUUUCGAAGAGUCGAGUUGUUUGGGAAUGCAGCUCUAAGUGGGUGGUAAAUUCCAUCUAAAGCUAAAUAUUGGCGAGAGACCGAUAGCGAACAAGUACAGUGAUGGAAAGAUGAAAAGAACUUUGAAAAGAGAGUGAAAAAGUACGUGAAAUUGUUGAAAGGGAAGGGCUUGAGAUCAGACUUGGUAUUUUGCGAUCCUUUCCUUCUUGGUUGGGUUCCUCGCAGCUUACUGGGCCAGCAUCGGUUUGGAUGGUAGGAUAAUGACUAAGGAAUGUGGCUCUACUUCGGUGGAGUGUUAUAGCCUUGGUUGAUACUGCCUGUCUAGACCGAGGACUGCGUCUUUUGACUAGGAUGUUGGCAUAAUGAUCUUAAGCCACCCGUCUGAAAACGGGGGACAAAAAAAAAAUUUA